rnacentral:rRNA from 1 species
CCCUUAGAUGUUCUGGGCCGCACGCGCGCUACACUGAUGCAUUCAACGAGCCUAUCCUUGACCGACAGGUCCGGGUAAUCUUUGAAUCUGCAUCGUGACGGGGAUAGAUUAUUGCAAUUAUUAAUCUUCAACGAGGAAUGCCUAGUAGGCGCAAGUCAUCAGCUUGCGUCGAUUACGUCCCUGCCCUUUGUACACACCGCCCGUCGCUCCUACCGAUUGAGUGGUCCGGUGAAUAAUUCGGACUGAGGAUUUAGGCAGUUUCUGUCUUUAUCUUCGGGAAGUCUAGUGAACCUUAUCACUUAGAGGAAGGAGAAGUCGUAACA